GAUGAACGCUGGCGGCGUGCCUAAUACAUGCAAGUCGAGCGAACAGAUGAGGAGCUUGCUCCUCUGACGUUAGCGGCGGACGGGUGAGUAACACGUGGAUAACCUACCUAUAAGACUGGGAUAACUUCGGGAAACCGGAGCUAAUACCGGAUAAUAUAUUGAACCGCAUGGUUCAAUAGUGAAAGACGGUUUUGCUGUCACUUAUAGAUGGAUCCGCGCCGCAUUAUCUAGUUGGUAAGGUAACGGCUUACCAAGGCAACGAUGCGUAGCCGACCUGAGAGGGUGAUCGGCCACACUGGAACUGAGACACGGUCCCGACUCCUACGGGAGGCAGCAGUAGGGAAUCUUCCGCAAUGGGCGAAAGCCUGACGGAGCAACGCCGCGUGAGUGAUGAAGGUCUUCGGAUCGUAAAACUCUGUUAUUAGGGAAGAACAAAUGUGUAAGUAACUAUGCACGUCUUGACGGUACCUAAUCAGAAAGCCACGGCUAACUACGUG
rnacentral:rRNA from 1 species